rnacentral:rRNA from 1 species
UGAUCAUGGCUCAGGACGAACGCUGGCGGCGUGCCUAAUACAUGCAAGUCGAGCGAACUGAUUAGAAGCUUGCUUCUAUGACGUUAGCGGCGGACGGGUGAGUAACACGUGGGCAACCUGUCUGUAAGACUGGGAUAACUUCGGGAAACCGGAGCUAAUACCGGAUAAUCCUUUCUCUCUCAUGAGAGAAAGCUGAAAGACGGUUUCGGCUGUCACUUACAGAUGGGCCCGCGGCGCAUUAGCUAGUUGGUGAGGUAACGGCUCACCAAGGCGACGAUGCGUAGCCGACCUGAGAGGGUGAUCGGCCACACUGGGACUGAGACACGGCCCAGACUCCUACGGGAGGCAGCAGUAGGGAAUCUUCCGCAAUGGACGAAAGUCUGACGGAGCAACGCCGCGUGAGCGAUGAAGGCCUUCGGGUCGUAAAGCUCUGUUGUUAGGGAAGAACAAGUACCGGAGUAACUGCCGGUACCUUGACGGUACCUAACCAGAAAGCCACGGCUAACUACGUGCCAGCAGCCGCGGUAAUACGUAGGUGGCAAGCGUUGUCCGGAAUUAUUGGGCGUAAAGCGCGCGCAGG